AUCCAGGUGUUGACGAGUCCCAAAUAGGACGAAAUGCGCAUCUUAGAU
rnacentral:hammerhead_ribozyme from 1 species